CACGUAGGGGGCAAGCGUUGUCCGGAAUUAUUGGCGUAAAGAGCUCGUAGGCGGCUCGGUAAGUCAGGUGUCAAUCCUCAGGCUCAACCUGGGGCUCCACCUGAUACUGCUGUGGCUAGAGUCCGGUAGGGGAGCGUGGAAUUCCUGGUGUAGCGGUGAAAUGCGCAGAUAUCGGGAGGAACACCGGUGGCGAAGGCGGUUCUCUGGGCCUUACCUGACGCUGAGGAGCGAAAGCGUGGGGAGCGAACAGG
rnacentral:rRNA from 1 species